rnacentral:lncRNA from 1 species
GGAGGGGUAGUAGAAAAUACAUGGCGUUUGUAUGGUAAUAACGUCCGAACGUCUUCAUAGGAGAAAAUCUAUAUAUAUAGCCUCCUUCUAUUGAGGGAUCCCUAAAAUAAUUUUAUUUAAUGGACACCCUUUAGGGUCCCCUACCCAAAAAAUUUCAACGAUCCAAACCAUCCAUUUAAGUCUACAUUCAUAAAUCAUCUUUUUGCAAAAAAUUAUACAAAUCGGAAACCGUUUUCACAUCCAAUUGUGUCC